rnacentral:rRNA from 1 species
GACGGACGCUGGCGGCGUGCCUAAUACAUGCAAGUUGAGCGCUGAAGGUUGGUACUUGUACCAACUGGAUGAGCAGCGAACGGGUGAGUAACGCGUGGGGAAUCUGCCUUUGAGCGGGGGACAACAUUUGGAAACGAAUGCUAAUACCGCAUAAAAACUUUAAACACAAGUUUUAAGUUUGAAAGAUGCAAUUGCAUCACUCAAAGAUGAUCCCGCGUUGUAUUAGCUAGUUGGUGAGGUAAAGGCUCACCAAGGCGAUGAUACAUAGCCGACCUGAGAGGGUGAUCGGCCACAUUGGGACUGAGACACGGCCCAAACUCCUACGGGAGGCAGCAGUAGGGAAUCUUCGGCCAUGGACGAAAGUCUGACCGAGCAACGCCGCGUGAGUGAAGAAGGUUUUCGGAUCGUAAAACUCUGUUGGUAGAGAAGAACGUUGGUGAGAGUGGAAAGCUCAUCAAGUGACGGUAACUACCCAGAAAGGGACGGCUAACUACGUG